rnacentral:rRNA from 1 species
GAUGAACGCUGGCGGCGUGCCUAAUACAUGCAAGUCGAACGCACAGCGAAAGGUGCUUGCACCUUUCAAGUGAGUGGCGAACGGGUGAGUAACACGUGGACAACCUGCCUCAAGGCUGGGGAUAACAUUUGGAAACAGAUGCUAAUACCAAAUAAGAACUGAGACCGCAUGGUUAAAGUUUAAAAGACGGCGCAAGCUGUCGCUAAAGGAUGG